CCUACGGGAGGCAGCAGUGGGGAAUAUUGCACAAUGGGGGGAACCCUGAUGCAGCGACGCCGCGUGAGUGAAGAAGUAUUUUGGUAUGUAAAGCUCUAUCAGCAGGGAAGAAAAUGACGGUACCUGACUAAGAAGCCCCGGCUAACUACGUGCCAGCAGCCGCGGUAAUACGUAGGGGGCAAGCGUUAUCCGGAUUUACUGGGUGUAAAGGGAGCGUAGACGGCUUUGCAAGCCAGAUGUCAAAGCCCGGCGCUCAACCCCGGGAC
rnacentral:rRNA from 1 species